rnacentral:lncRNA from 1 species
UUCAAACUGAGUAUAUUUACCUGCCUGUUGCAAAAGUAUUUUUGGACAAACCUUUUAUUAUUUGAAUUAGUAAUUUUCUCAAUUAAUUGAAUUUCAUGCUGCCUAGUAGCUCUGACAGAAACCAUUCUGUAGAGGUAAUUCUAAAGGUGAGACUUGGAAGUAAAGAAUCAGUGUCACUUACUGGCUCAGUAAACCCAUCCUCCAAUUCCUGUUGAAGCUGAGAAGAGUUGCCAUCUCUUCUUGAGUCAAUUCAAAGUCAAAGACCUAACAAGAGAAAAAGCUGGAAAUCACCUCUUUGAAAGAAAUGGAACAGCGUGAAGAAGAUGGACAGGCUGAGAAAGCAUAUUCCCUGUGGCGGAUCCAUUUUGUGUCACGUACUGCUGACUUAAGAGAUAGAGGGCAGCACUUUUUAUGAACACAAGGACUUCUUUAUGAUCACUAUUCUGUCAGAUUUUUCUGCUAUAUUACUGUUCUUGGCCUCCAAGCCUGCUCAGAAUAAUUCCUCAGUAGAGGUAAAAAGGCAGAUAGAAAAAGCCCUGUGGUCUUUUCUGAGAAGGACUUGGGAAGGAUCCCUACUUGCUCUUCAGGAAACAGUGAUGCCAGGUCACUUGUAAUCACCCACCUUGAAGUUCUCCACAAUGCGCUGUGGUGUGACAGACUUGGGGAUCACAAUCACAUUUCUCUGGAUCUGGAAGCGAAGGAGAACCUGCAGGAAGAGACCAUCAAAUCAGAGAGAAGACAGGUGGUGUUACCACAGAAGCUGAGUGUGCUCAGCAGUGGUUUGCCAUGUGUGCAGCCACCUUUAUACAGCAGUGUUUCAAGUCAUUCCUGUCAUAUAGCCUGGGUAGGGCUCCCUGACGAGCAAAAAGGGAAGUAGUGGGUCACCACACGGGAGGCCUCCUCUCUGAUCUGGUUUUGAGACAAUUGGUUAUUUUCUUUCUUACCUGGAGUUUCAGUAAUUUCUACACUGCUGUCAUUCUGUGCAGCAGAACUUGAGCGGAGAAGCGAUGCCUGAAGAUGAGUCAAGAAUCUUUUCUUUGUUUAUGGCCAAAGAAAUAAGAGUUGCAUAUAUUGCAAGCCAUUCAAGGAAUAAUCUGCAUUGUUAGGGAAUAAUCAGAGGAGUGCCACAGCUUGUAGAGAAUGGAUUUAGAUUUUAU